rnacentral:miRNA from 1 species
UUGUCUUCCAUGGAAUAGGCAG